rnacentral:misc_RNA from 1 species
UUCACUUGGUUGAAGUUGAUAAGAUGUUUGGGACAUUUGAUGGUUUGAUACAAAGAGCUUCCUUGUUGGUUUCUGGAGAUACCCAGAAAGAAGAAGUGGUUGCUUUCUCUGACUCUGAUGAGAAAAUUGGGAGAGAAAGUUUGGUUAAUGAAGAAAAUUUGAUCAAUAGAAGGGAAGAUGGAGAACUAGAGAAAGAUGGCUUCAAGGGUUUGGUGAAAAGUUCUUCCACCAAGGCAACUUUCUUUUCAGGUAAGUAUGAAUUAGUUUUUAGGUUUGUUUAAUUGAAGAUUGUUCAUAUACUUGGAGAUUAUAAAAUCUUGGCAAUUCAGAAAUUUUAUGUAAAUCACUUGUUCUUGACAUACUUACAUGUUCAUGACAUUUAAAAUUGCAGAACAAAGUUCAACUUACAUUGAAUUCAAUUUGAGAUUAAAGGUAGAAAGUGUUUGUUGUUUGUUUCAAUCCAUAUCUUUAAUUGGUAAAAUUGAUGAUUAGACCCUAUUUUAGUGUAAUUAUUAAAAGGCUACUGAACUAAAACAUGGGAAAGAAGAUAGAACACUUAGAAUUUGUUUGAUUUAAAGGUUAUUGACUAAUUUCCUGCAUAUUAAUAAGAUCUUUCUGAAUUGAAUAUCUCUUUAAUUCUCUGAAAUUGGAUAGAUUUUCUUUGAAUUAAAUUUUGUGCUGUUUAUGGCCUCCUUGAAGUUUCUUUAAUGUCUGAAUGCAACAAUGGUAGGAGAGAUAGAAAGAGGGGGGAAUCUUGAGAAAGAAUAUAUAUAUUUUCCUUACAUUUUGUUCAGUUAAGAUGGUAUUAUGAAUUCUUUCAUUAAGGUUGUGACAUGGGACAGUUUUGUUAUUCCUUCACUCUAUGGACGUGAUUUUGGUGUAUUUCUAGGUGAAGGUGAACCUGAGAAAUUGAGUCUAAUGAUGGUGGCAGCUAUCAUAGAAAACUCUGCAAAAACUGAAGCUUUAGUUCUUGAUCUCAAAGGCAAGUUGAUGGAUGGAAUUGAGUGGCUUCCUUUCUCAAUUGGGAAAUUGUCAUUUGUUACUGAGCUGGACUUAUCUGAAAACCGAAUCAUGGCACUUCCAUCAACCUUUGGUAGUCUCAAAGCCUUAACAAAGCUUGAUAUCCACUCAAAUCAAAUAAUAAAUCUUCCUGAUUCAUUUGGGGAGCUAAUUAGCCUGAUGGAUCUCGAUCUGCAUGCAAAUAGAUUAAAGUCACUGCCAUCUUCUUUUGGGAAGUUGUCGAACCUCAUAAAUCUUGAUUUGAGCUCCAAUCAGUUCACUCAUUUGCCAGAGACCAUCGGGGAUUUGACUGGCUUGAAGAUGUUGAAUGUAGAAACAAAUGAACUAGAGGAGAUCCCAUACACAAUUGGAAACUGCUUGUCACUCAUGGAGCUGAGAUUAGAUUUCAAUCAGCUCAAAGCUCUUCCUGAGGCUAUUGGAAAAGUUGAAAGCUUAGAGAUUCUUACUCUUCAUUACAAUAGAAUUAGAGGGUUGCCAACAACAAUGGGUAACCUUGUCAAUUUGAGGGAACUUGAUGUUGGCUUCAAUGAGCUUGAAUCUAUACCUGAAAACCUUUGUUUUGCAAUACGUCUUAAGAAAUUGAUUGUGGCAAACAACUUUGCAGACUUGAGAGAAUUGCCACGAUCCAUCGGAAAUCUUGAGAUGCUUGAAGAGUUGGAUAUAAGUGAUGAUCAGAUAAGAGUCUUACCAGAUUCUUUCAGGUUUUUGUCAAAAUUGAGGGUUUUUCGUGCUGAUGAGACUCCUUUGGAAGUUCCACCAAGACAAGUAGCUAAAUUGGGUGCUCAGGCUGUUGUUCAGUUCAUGGCUGACCUUGUUGCCAAGAGAGACACUAAAUCUCAACCAUCAAAGAAGAAGAAGAAGGGAUUUUGGUACACAGUCUGCUCAAUCUUCUGGCCAUUCAGGAGGAAUUCCUAAUAAUUUUUCAUCGAUUCGAGCUUCAUGUGCAUAAGUUGAAACGUUUGUUCCUUUAUCAACUACUUUUUCUAUCCUAAGGUUUCUUCUUGUAUCAUUCCUUCAGAUGCCAGAAUUGCCAUAUCUGGUUUUCUCAGCUGAACUGUAAUAAGAAACAUUGUGACACAUUCCAUGUGAUGCAAAAUACUUGCUAGUUUAUGCAACCAUUUUGUGUAUAUGAAAUGCUUAUAAAAUGAUAAUUUCUAUUCAUCAAUAUAUAUUGUGUUCGAGAUACUGUAGAAAGUUAAGAGUUCAA